GGUGCUAUAGUGUAGUGGUUAUCACUCGGGAUUUUGAUUAUUCAAAUCUUCCCGAAACCCAGGUUCGAACCCUGGUAGCACCU